rnacentral:rRNA from 1 species
GUGGGGAAUAUUGCACAAUGGGGGAAACCCUGAUGCAGCAACGCCGCGUGAAGGAAGACGGUUUUCGGAUUGUAAACUUCUAUCAAUAGGGAAGAAAGAAAUGACGGUACCUAAAUAAGAAGCCCCGGCUAACUACGUGCCAGCAGCCGCGGUAAUACGUAGGGGGCAAGCGUUAUCCGGAAUUACUGGGUGUAAAGGGAGAGUAGGCGGCAAGGUAAGCGAUAUGUGAAAGCCUUAGGCUUAACCUGAGGAUUGCAUAACGAACUAUCUAGCUAGAGUACAGGAGAGGAAAGCGGAAUUCCUAGUGUAGCGGUGAAAUGCGUAGAUAUUAGGAAGAACACCAGUGGCGAAGGCGGCUUUCUGGACUGAAACUGACGCUGAGGCUCGAAAGCGUGGGGAGCGAACAGG